rnacentral:rRNA from 1 species
GGUGCUACACAUUGCAAGUCGAACGCGAAAAUCCCGCAAGGGAUCUGUAGCGUGGCAAACGGGUGAGUAACGCGUGGGCGACCUACCUCAGAGUGGGGGAUAACCUUCCGAAAGGGAGGCUAAUACCGCAUGACAUCCCGUGUUUGGAUACACGGACAUCAAAGCCGGGGAUCGGCAAGACCUGGCGCUUGGAGAGGGGCCCGCGUCCGAUUAGCUAGUUGGUGAGGUAACGGCUCACCAAGGCUCCGAUCGGUAUCCGGCCUGAGAGGGCGGACGGACACACUGGGACUGAGACACGGCCCAGACUCCUACGGGAGGCAGCAGUGGGGAAUUGUUCGCAAUGGGCGCAAGCCUGACGACGCAACGCCGCGUGGAGGAUGAAGAUCUUCGGGGUCGUAAACUCCUUUCGAUCGAGACGAAUGGCCCCCGGGUGAACAAUCCGGGGGAGUGACGGUACCGAGCAGAAGAAGCCCCGGCUAACUCCGUGCCAGCAGCCGGGGGUAAUACGGGGGGGGGCAAGGCGUUGUUCGGAAUUACUGGGGCGUAAAAGGGCUCGUAAGGCGGCCAACUAAGUCAAGACGUGGAA